AUUGAACGCUAGCGGGGUGCUUUACACCUGCACGUCGAACGAGUGGCGGACGGGUUAGUAAUAUAUCGGAAUGUGCCCAGUAGCGGGGGAUAACUACUCGAAAGACUGGCUAAUACCUCAUACUAUUGGAGCGGCCGAUAUCGGCUUAGCUAGUUGGUGGGGUAAAGGCUCACCAGGGAAACGAUCCGUAGCUGGUUUGAGAGGACGACCAGCCACACUGGGACUGAGACACGGCCCAGACUCCUACGGGAGGCAGCAGUGGGGAAUUUUGGACAAUGGGGGAAACCCUGAUCCAGCCAUCCCGCGUGUAUGAGAAGGCCUUCGGGUUGUAAAGUACUUUUGGCAGAGAAGCGGUAUCUGCAGAAUAAGCACCGGCUAACUACGUGCCAGCAGCCGCGGUAAUAC
rnacentral:rRNA from 1 species